rnacentral:misc_RNA from 1 species
UGUCCUGACGACCUUAGUUUUCCUCUUGUUGGCAAUAGCCGGCGUGACCGCCGCCGGGCCAAGCGACGACCCAAGGGGGUUGACUACACCAGAGACGACUUCCUCUGGG